UUGAUCCUGGCUCAGAACGAACGCUGGCGGCAUGCUUCAUACAUGCAAGUCGAGCGCGAAAGUCCCCUUCGGGGGGCGAUUAGAGCGGCGCACGGGUGAGUAACGGGUGGAUAAUCUGCCUUCCGGUGGAGGAUAACAGCGGGAAACUGCUGCUAAUACUGCGUACGUUUGCUGUCCGCAAGGACGGUAAAGAAAGGCGCGUUUGCGUCGCCGGAAGAUGAGUCCGCCGCCCAUUAGCUAGUUGGCGGGAUAACAGCCCACCAAGGCAACGAUGGGUAGCCGAGCUGAGAGGUUGAUCGGCCACACUGGAACUGAGACACGGUCCAGACACCUACGGGUGGCAGCAGUAGGGAAUAUUGGUCAAUGGGCGAAAGCCUGAACCAGCCAUGCCGCGUGGAGGAUGAAGGCCUUCGGGUCGUAAACUCCUUUUCUAAGGGAAGAAUCUCUGGUGGAGGAAAUGCCACCGGGUUGACGGUACCUUAGGAAUAAGCAACGGCCAACUCCGUGCCAGCAGCCGCGGUAAUACGGAGGUUGCAAGCGUUGUUCGGAAUUACUGGGCGUAAAGGGAGCGCAGGCGGCCAGGUCAGUCUGAAGUGAAAGCCCGAGGCUCAACCUCGGAAGUGCUUUGGAUACUGCCUGGCUUGAGUACGUGAGAGGAGAGCGGAAUUCCAGGUGUAGCGGUGACAUGCGUAGAUAUCUGGAGGAACACCGAUGGCGAAAGCAGCUCUCUGGCACGUUACUGACGCUGAGGCUCGAAAG
rnacentral:rRNA from 1 species